rnacentral:rRNA from 1 species
UACGAAGGGGGCUAGCGUUGCUCGGAAUUACUGGGCGUAAAGCGCACGUAGGCGGCUUUCUAAGUCGGGGGUGAAAUCCUGGAGCUCAACUCCAGAACUGCCUUCGAUACUGGAAAGCUCGAGUCCGGGAGAGGUGAGUGGAACUGCGAGUGUAGAGGUGAAAUUCGUAGAUAUUCGCAAGAACACCAGUGGCGAAGGCGGCUCUCUGGCCCGGUACUGACGCUGAGGUGCGAAAGCGUGGGGAGCAAACAGG